GGGCGGGACGAGGAGAAGCCAAACGUAAAGACACCAGGAGUUUCUCGGGCCCAGCUGUGGCUGCUGCCGGGGAGCCCCAAGCCUUGGCGGGUCCUUGCGGCGAAUAGGAGUCUGGUCAGGCGUCAGGCUAGUCCGACGAAGAGUGGAGAAUUUCAAGAUUGUGGAGUUGGACUGAAUGCUGCACAGUUCAAACAGCUGCUUAUUUCGGCUGUGAAGGACCUGUUUGGGGAGGCUGGAGUGCAAUGGCACGAUCUUGGCUCACCGCACCCUCCGCCUCCCAGGUUCAAGCGAUUCUCCUGCCUCAGCCUCGCAAGUAGCUGGGAUUACAGGUUGAUGCCGCCUUACCUUUGGACAUCCUAACCUAUGAAGAGAAGACCUUGUCAGCCAUCUUGAGAAUAUGUAGCAGUGGUCUUGUCAAAUUGUGGAGCUCUUUGACCCUGUUAGGAUCCUAUAAAGGCAAAAAAUGUGCUUUCCGGGUGAUUCAGGUUUCUCCAUUUCUUCUUGCAUUAUCUGGUAAUAGUAGGGAACUAGUAUUGGAUUGAAUGAAUAGUCUUCCAUUUUGGAAACGUUCAUCCACUCUCAUAUUUAUUUUUUGGUGCCUGCAUGUUUGAAGACUGAAGCAGGCUAAAAGCUCUUGAUGAAAUUUGAGGGUGCUGAAGAUGUUCCCACUAAUUUCCAGCCAUCACCUUUGGUGGGGUGGGCUUCGGAGGACAGUCUGUCUGAACCUGCCAGUGCUGACCCUGCAGCACUUUCAGCAUAUGCACAUCAAAGUUGGAGACCGCGCUGAACUUAGGAGGGCCUUCACACAGACUGAUGUGGCUACCUUCUCAGAAUUAACAGGGGAUGUCAAUCCUUUGCAUUUGAAUGAAGACUUUGCAAAACACACCA
rnacentral:lncRNA from 10 species